rnacentral:rRNA from 1 species
UACAGAGGGUGCAAACGUUGCUCGGAAUUAUUGGGCGUAAAGGGCGCGUAGGCGGCCUGGCAAGUGGAAGGUGAAAUCCCUCGGCUUAACCGAGGAACUGCCCUCCAAACUGCUUGGCUUGAGUCCGGGAGAGGUGAGUGGAAUUCCCAGUGUAGCGGUGAAAUGCGUAGAUAUUGGGAGGAACACCAGUGGCGAAGGCGGCUCACUGGACCGGAACUGACGCUGAGGCGCGAAAGCGUGGGGAGCAAACGGG